UAUAAAUUUAAUUAUUUAAACUAAAUAAUUAAUAGUUAUGGUCUUUAAAGUUAAAUAAUUUGGCGGUAUUUUAGUCUUUUCAGAGGAGCCUGUUCUAUAAAUGAUAGUCCACGAUUAAGUUGUCUUAAAUUAGAAAUUUAUAUAUCAUCGUUAUUAAGUAUUUUUUUAGAAUUAAAUACUUAUAAAAUAUGAUUUUGUUUUAAUUCAGAUCAAGGUAUAGUUUAUAUUUAAGUAGAAAUGGGUUACAAUAUUUAAAAAUUUGGAUUUUAAAUUUAAAAUUUAAAUGAAAUUGGAUUUGAAAGUAAUUAUAUUUUAAUAGUAAUGAUUAAGCUCUAAAAUAUGC
rnacentral:rRNA from 1 species